rnacentral:lncRNA from 1 species
CACACAAUUCAUGAGGUAUGCAGUGAACAGGUAUAUAGUAAAAAUUGUGUCUCUCCACCCAGUUACUCAGUCACCUUCACCAGAGGCCACCACUGUUAUCGACAGUUAUUUUAGUUUUGAGGAGAGCUAAGGAACUCAGACCUAAAAUGGAAUUAGGGAAGCUAUUUAACCUCAUCGAUAGAGACAGAGCCUGGAGUCAGCAGCCUGCAUUCAAAGCAAGGCUUCGCCGCUUCCUGACGUAGAGCCUGGCUGACAGGCUUUAUCUCACAGGGCUGUUGAGAUAAUGAAAUGAGCCAGCCGCUGCAAAGUGCUUAGCCCAGGCACCGUGCAUUUCUACCUUCAAUACGUGUCAGCUGUUAUUAGCUACGGGGUGGUGGAGCUGGUGGAGGAAGGUGGGAGGGAAGGGUGGGGCAUAUUUAAUCCUUUCUGGGGAAAGCCCUAAGCCCUCAUUAUACCAAGGGUAGAAAUCCCUAGGAAUCUGUUAGAAAUGCAUGGUCUCAGGCUCCUCCCCAGACUCGCUGAAUCUUGACAAACUCCCCAGAAGAGAAGCACUGUCCUGUAUGAACCUAGAGCCCCUGAGGGCUGGGCCACUGUCCUGUGUGAACCUGGAGUCCCUGAGGGCUGGGCUGUGGCAUCCCUGCCCCAGGGGAGACGGUGCUGCUGUCUCUUCAUUGCAGACAUGAGCCCUUAGACUUUGCAUGAUGAAAGCUCAUGACAAACGCUACCUACUCCCGAGCCCCCAGCUUCCUAUUCCACAUAAGAUCUCCUAAGCCCAAUAACCUGUGACCUCACAGAUGAAUGGAACAUGUCCUCUUUCGUCCUGUAGCUCCACGGUAACCUGAGAGAUGGCCUGGAGGCAGGGUGGCAUGUUGUUUUUAAAGUGAUACAAGAGACACAGUGGAGACCGUCCAAUGAGUGGCAUGGCUGCCAGGAUGCCAACUGGGACACUAAAGCCCUGGCAGUGGGGGCUGCCCAGCAGGGCUGGCCACUAGAAAUAAGAGAUGCAAAUUCAUCUUCUAUCAUAGCCAAAGAAGACCAACAAAGACCAACAGAGGCCAUGUCUCGCAUUCAGCUCCAACAGCAGGCAGUAGAUUUGUUACAGAGACUAAAACCCACCUUAUUGCCAAGUGACCCUCCUCUCACCAGCCUCCCCUGCUGCCACCCAAAUUCCUGCCACUGAACUACUCCUCAAAAUAAAACACAGCUGUAAAAUGCA